CCCACUAAGCUUCAGCUUAAGAAAAACCGUACCGCAAACCGACACAGGUAGGCAGGGUGAGAAUCCCAAGGCGCUUGAGAGAACUCGGGUGAAGGAACUAGGCAAAAUGGCACCGUAACUUCGGGAGAAGGUGCGCCCUUUGGUGUGGUCACGUGCGUGACUGAGCAUCGAAGGGUCGCAGUAACCUGGCCGCUGCGACUGUUUAUCAAAAACACAGCACUCUGCAAACACGAAAGUGGACGUAUAGGGUGUGACGCCUGCCCGGUGCUGGAAGGUUAAUUGAUGGGGUCAGCCGCAAGGCGAAGCUCUUGAUCGAAGCCCCAGUAAACGGCGGCCGUAACAAUAACGGUCCUAAGGUAGCGAAAUUCCUUGUCGGGUAAGUUCCGACCUGCACGAAUGGCGUAACGACAGCGGCGCUGUCUCCACCCGAGACUCAGUGAAAUUGAAAUCGCUGUGAAGAUGCAGCGUUCCCGCGGCAAGACGGAAAGACCCCGUGAACCUUUACUAUAGCUUUACACUGAACGUUGAGUUCUUCUGUGUAGGAUAGGUGGGAGGCUAUGAAACCAGGACGCUAGUUCUGGUGGAGCCAUCCUUGAAAUACCACCCUGAAGUGCUUGACGUUCUAACCUAGGCCCGUAAUCCGGGUCAGGGACCGUGUAUGGUGGGUAGUUUGACUGGGGCGGUCUCCUCCCAAAGAGUAACGGAGGAGCACGAAGGUACGCUCAGCGCGGUCGGACAUCGCGCACUGUGUGCAAAGGCAUAAGCGUGCUUGACUGCGAGAUCGACGGAUCAAGCAGGUACGAAAGUAGGUCUUAGUGAUCCGGUGGUUCUGUAUGGAAGGGCCAUCGCUCAACGGAUAAAAGGUACUCCGGGGAUAACAGGCUGAUACCGCCCAAGAGUUCAUAUCGACGGCGGUGUUUGGCACCUCGAUGUCGGCUCAUCACAUCCUGGGGCUGUAGCCGGUCCCAAGGGUAUGGCUGUUCGCCAUUUAAAGUGGUACGCGAGCUGGGUUCAGAACGUCGUGAGACAGUUCGGUCCCUAUCUGUCGUGGGCGUUGGAGAUUUGAGGGGGGCUGCUCCUAGUACGAGAGGACCGGAGUGGACGUUCCGCUGGUGUUCGGGUUGUCAUGCCCAUGGCAUUGCCCGGUAGCUACGAACGGAAGUGAUAACCGCUGAAAGCAUCUAAGCGGGAAGCACGCCCCAAGAUGAGAUCUCCCGAGAGCUUGACUCUCCUAAAGGCACCAUCAAGACUAGGUGGUUGAUAGGUCAGGUGUGGAAGCGCAGCAAUGCGUUGAGCUAACUGAUACUAAUGAGCCGUGAGGCUUGACC
rnacentral:rRNA from 1 species